rnacentral:misc_RNA from 1 species
AAGUCGUAACAAGGUUUCCGUAGGUGAACCUGCGGAAGGAUCAUUAAUACGCUUUUGUUUGUAACAAAACAAAACGUUUUAAACUCCAAAAGAAAUAGUGGAAAUAUAACUUCCGGAUGCGAAUGUUGGGAACUGAGUAAAAUCGGUUCUUUGGAAAGGGACUUCAAGCAAUUGACACUUCAGAGUAGAGCAGUGAGGUGAAAUUCUCUUUAUGAGAGUUUGGUUCUGAAAAACAUUUGUAUCCGGUUAUCAUAAUCUGUUCUACAAGUUCUAUCAAACAAUAAACCCCAUGUACAACAACUUGAACUAAACAUUUUUUUGUUAUCUACUUGCACACUUGUUGUGUGAGAAGCUACAAAGAAAAAACCUGAACUUAAGAACAACUCUUAACAACGGAUAUCUUGGUUCUC